CGCCCGAUGUAGGGUUAAGACAACCAGUGUUUCUUGGAUUGGCAUCUAAGAGACAUACUAUCUUUGCCCCAAGGGGGAGCUCUUUGAACAAACUGGGUGUUAGGUAAUAUAUAUUUCCAUUAAGAGUCAUCUCUUAAGAAUCGGCUGUCAUGGUGGCCAUCUUGACAUACAGAACAUUUAUUUCAUGUGAAAACUGAAAGAUAUCUUGAAAAAAUUCAAUCAAAAUUAAUAAUCUUUGUGUUUGACCUUGCUUUUAAGCUAGUGUGCAUGUUAUUCUUAUGCCAGGAGUUAUUUUUUUAUUUUCAUAUCACUUAUUAUAACCCACAUUUCAUAUUUAUUGUAAAUCUAAUACAUUGUGACUGUAGUUUAACCAAUAAACUGUUUUUUAUUUUAGAUAAAAGAAAUAACUGUAUUAAAACUGCGAGUUCAGCUCCAGUUCACCUUCGUCUUACUUGCAGCAUUUGAAAUCUGAUAGAAUUUGUUUAAAGAUUCUUCAUUCUUUAUUGCCGACUCUUUUUGGAUCCCUUCAGACGAACUUAAUUCCAGAUUUCAGGAGUCUGUGACAGCAUCAGAUUUAAGAUACUACACGUAAGAGAAAGGUGAACUGGAGCUAAAUUCAACAUUCACUUCGAAUCAGCCCUUUCCACCAUAGCUGCAUUAUGUGUAGUAUUAGAACUAACUACUUGUUUCUUUUUUUACAAAUGUUUUGUAAUGCAAGAUUUGUUGGUACCAUUUACAUUAAUUACAGAAAGUUCAUGUGUCAAUCUACCAAUCUAAAGAGAAGCAGAGCCAAAAACAUUGACUUAUAAAAUAUCACAUCAGUUAUGAAACCUCUCCUAAAGUAGUAGCCUGUUUAAUUCAAGCUUGGGUAUUUCUUAUAUCUAAAUGUUUUCAAACAAUGAAAUUGUGUUGUUUUUGUUUAUGUUAUAAAAAAUAGGACAAUUUUUUUUAAAUAAAUUAAUAAGUCCAUACAAUUGGAUUUGAAUUAGGUUGAUAAGAUUCUAGGUCAACAAUGUAUUUUUAGUACAAGUUAUUUUAAAUAACACGUGCACAGUUCCUUCACGUGAUCAGUGGUUGGGGUUGAAACACAAUAAGUGCAAUAGGAUUAGAAGAGUUGCCACAUUCAACAGCAGUGACUUAGUUGAACAGUUACUAGUCUGAGUACUGGCAGCCUUCUCGUCAAAAUGCCAUUUUCUUUCAGUAAAGUUGUCAAAGAGGUUUCAUCAAUUACUCGACUUGAGAGACGGCUGCAGAAGGAACUAAUGUCGCUGGUGAAGGAACCGCCUCCAGGAGUUAUAGUUGACAGUAACGUUGCUGAACAGAACUUAAAUGUGUAAGUCUUUAAUAUCUCUAAGCUGGAGACAGUAACUAGAAGUUAGUAGUAUCUCA